AGUUAUCUUAUGUUUUUCAGUUUCUUCAGUUUUCUAUGUGAGAGAGGUGUUCAAAGCCUUUAUGGAUUUCACUAAGAAAAUAAGAUUAAUGACAGAAGUGCAAGUAACCAUUGGGCUCAAAUAAUCUCAUGCCAUCUCAAAGCCUUUUACAAUCAAUGCCGUACUUCAGAAGGAUUGCUAUUGUGGUACAGUCGAAGUCGGUGGCCAGUUUGCAGGCACCCACAAAAAGCAAGUCAGCCACAAACCAAAGAAGCACCUUGGAACCUGUUCAAGAAAACAUUAAAGUGUGAAAAAAGAACAAAUUGCGCAAACGGCAAAAUGCAAGCAAACAACACAUCGAACAUCAAACAAGGAGCCCAGGAGAAUUCAGUUUAGUUCACUUCAGCAUUGUGCCACCAGCCCACCUGCACGUUGCACUUGGAGCCACUUUUCCCUCAAGUGUCCCAGUCCGUAUCAAUCUCCCCGAUCAAACCGCUCAAAAACAACAAAACAGUAACCAGAAUCCAGUACAGAAGCAUCCAAAACAACUCCUUGCAGAAGCAUACUAGCCAGGCUUUCUUUGCCUUCUUCCAUCCACUUUAAAUUUCUUUGUGUUUCAAAGUCAAUUUAGUCUCAAAAAAAAAACCCACAUCAAUCUUCAAAGUUCCCAAUUUAUACACCACUUUAAGACUAAUUCUUAAAAUUGUUACGUUUUAAGAAGUAUGCCAGUAAUUAAACUACAAAAUCUAUUCCAAGUAAACACUCACUACUUGAAGUUUGAAUCUUA